CUCGGGAUGGGAGGCCCUCAGCCUGGAUUGCGAGAGGGUGCAGGCUAGGCUGAGGGAUCCAACCAGCGCAGA
rfam:Myotis brandtii contig183000, whole genome shotgun sequence.